UGCUGUCCUGAGUCUGAACCGAAGGACAGGCAGGCUGGAAACCCCGUACAGAGGGGCGGGGGGUGAGGGAACGUGAGACAAGCUGAGUGUCCGGGCCUGCGUUUGCUUCUCAUUCCGGGCCGGGAAGGCAAGGUCUUUAAGACUGACUCUGCUCCCUUCUGCUGAUCUCCCUCGGAGCUCUGCCCCUCGAGACAGAAUCCCGGGGGAAUCUAGCUGGGUGAGCUGGGGCGGGGAGCCACAGGCGUGGCUGUGUGCAGAGCUCAGGCUCCCGCGGUUAUGCAAGCGGGUGCUGAAACUCUCCGGCAGCCCUUUCUCCUAACCCCCGUGAAGACAUCUCUCCUGAGCAUUUCACGUGAAGCUUCGGAGAUAAGAAAGGCAGGACCCUGCACUUCUGCUCAGCUGCUGCCUCCUCCGGGAAGCCCUCCUUGUUGCAGCAUGAAUCUGGGCUCCCCCCAGGGGUCUGCUCACCCAUAGUAUUAGCCCUACUUUUCUGCCUUAGCCCACUCAGCCUGGGUUGGUUAUAUGGGCUUCUGUCUGCUUCCUUCUCUAGACGGGAAGUUGUCUGGGGCCAGGGGGACCCAGUCUCGUUCGCAUCUGUACCCUGCCUGCCUAUGUCCCUGCACAAAUGUGCUCCAUGCUUUGGAGCCCGGAACCAGCCGUUAACGGAGGCACAUUACACAUCUUCGGAUUUAACCCAACCAGUAACCCUGACAGGAAGGAGGACACAUUCAAUUCAAUAAACCCAUAUACAGCAUCUACUUCUUCCUCCCGGCAUUGUCUCAGGGGUGGUCUGUGUGACCAAUGGAAGUGAUGGUGUGUGACUUCUAAGACUGUGCCACAGAAGAUGUUGCCACUUCCCUUGCUGUUCUGUGGACUGCUUGCUGUGGGGGAAGCUAGCUGCCUUGUGGUGACGACACCCAGCAGCCUAGGGAUAGACCCGCGUGGGGAAGGAACUGAAGCCUCCCGCCACGAGCCAGCGCCAACCUGCUCCUACUGUCUGUGUGAACCAGCCUUCUUGGAAGCUGAUCCGCUAGAACUGGGUCAGAGCUCCAGGUGACCGCAGUCCCAGCUGAUAUCCUGACUGGCACUUAGGCGAGACCUUGAACCAGAACCGCUCAGCUAAGACGCUCCUGAUUUUCUGACCCACAGUGACUGAGAGACAGUAGGUGUUCUCUUGAUGCUUUAAGGCUUUGGUUUUGGGAGUCGUUUCAUAGACAGCAACAGACACACGUACAGAAACGGAGGCUUGGAGAAGAGUUUGGGAAGAGCCUUCGUUUUCAAGGCGCCAUACUUGUAUGCAAUGGGGGCGAUGUUUUUCUAAAGGCGUAAAAGAUGAUGAUGACUGUGAGGAUGUGUGUAACCUAAGUUGGCGAAAGGAGUGCCGGAGCAGGAAGAAAACUUAAGAGGCCACCGCAGUCGUCCAGACGAGAGGUAAUGAGAGAGCGGAAGCGGAGGCACCGCUGGGGGACCGGAGAAUGGCACGUCAACGCAGGGGGGUGAAGGCGAAGAAGUCACUAAGGUGACUCCUGGGUUUUGAGCGCAGGAACACGGGGGAGCCACGAUCUCAUUUACCCAAAGAGGAAACACAGAAGGGAGCCCACGUGGGUAGGAGUCAAGAAGUGGGGGUAUCUAUCUCCUGGCGAGGAGAGCUCCCUGUGUCCAGAGCUCCGCGGAGGGCUGGCCACCAAGGCUGCUUCACAGAUCGGGCUGGUCGAGAAACCUCUCCCCGAAGGACGAGCCUGUUCCAUUUCACAGCACAUCUUCCCCACUGCCAAGUGUUCCCUGGUGACAGCCUCUGCCAUCGAUAUUUUUAGCAUGUGGCCUUUCUGAGCCUGAAAAACAACAUCCACUUCCUGGAACUUCUCCUCCAGCUGACAGCCAGUGACCCACGCGGGCGGGAGCUUCAGCUGGGCCUGACAGGCGACAGUCUGCCAAUCUGCUAGGGGAGAGGAAGGCAGGCCGCAAGUUGGGCACGAAGGCCUCCACCCCGCUCCCUUCUGUCCUGCUCUUGAGGCCUAACGACGUCGGUGCACGUCAGAAGCCGAAAAGUAAGGAAGCCUGUGAAUAAGGCCCAAGAGGCAGGAAGCUUCUCCUGCAAUUUCCUUCUAUGACAGCUACAUCAAGUCUGAAGGUAAUACCUGGCCAGGUGACGUUAGAAAACCACCAGGACAUAAAUACUGCUUUUGUAGUAAUCCUAGGACAGGCCUGCGUGAAAACCCCCUGGGACUCGUCACACGUGCUGUUGCAUCCCGUGGGGUCAGAUCUGAGGCAGAGCCAGAAAAGCAUCGAGGGAAACGUGAGAGAGGGUGAGGGGUUUCUCCGAUGGGGUCUGCAGCCCCGGGCCAAGGCUGGGGGUGGGAGGUGGGGGGCGAGAACCCACCGGACCGUUCCCCAGAGUUGUAAGAGUUCUCUGCCAGAAUUUUAGAAAUUGUGCUUUUUAGAGUUUAUGAUCGUCUAAACGGGUUGGAAUAAGCGUAUUCGGUGCUGAUUGACCCCUUAUGUAGGAGUACUACCUCGCCCCUCAGGACCCAUAUCCACAAAUGUGUUUUGAUGCUAAGUGGCAUUUUAUUUUAUCAUUUUUUUUUAAAGUUUAUUUAUUUAUUUAUUUAGAGACAGAGAGAGAGCACAAGCAGGGGAGGGGCAGAGAGAACCACAGAGAGAACUGGGUGGUUCACACACCCAGUUUUCCAGCAGUGGGUUUUUUGUUUUUUUUUUUUUUUUUAUGGUUAUUUACUUUUGAGAGAGAAAGAGAGAGAGAGA